UGGGGAAUAUUGGACAAUGGGCGAAAGCCUGAUCCAGCAAUGCCGCGUGAGUGAUGAAGGCCUUAGGGUUGUAAAGCUCUUUUACCAGGGAUGAUAAUGACAGUACCUGGAGAAUAAGCUCCGGCUAACUCCGUGCCAGCAGCCGCGGUAAUACGGAGGGAGCUAGCGUUGUUCGGAAUUACUGGGCGUAAAGCGUACGUAGGCGGUGAUUCAAGUCAGAGGUGAAAGCCUGGAGCUCAACUCCAGAACUGCCUUUGAAACUAGGUCGCUAGAAUCACGGAGAGGUGAGUGGAAUUCCGAGUGUAGAGGUGAAAUUCGUAGAUAUUCGGAAGAACACCAGUGGCGAAGGCGGCUCACUGGACGUGUAUUGACGCUGAGGUACGAAAGCGUGGGGAGCAAACAGGAUUAGAUACCCUUGUAGUCCCUGAGCGGGCUGGCAAGGCGCAU
rnacentral:rRNA from 1 species